rnacentral:rRNA from 1 species
UACAGAGGGUGCAAGCGUUGUUCGGAAUUAUUGGGCGUAAAGCGCGUGUAGGCGGCUUUGCAAGUCGGGUGUGAAAGCCCUCGGCUCAACCGAGGAAGUGCGCCCGAAACUGCAGAGCUUGAGUACCGGAGAGGGUAGCGGAAUUCCCCAAGUAGAGGUGAAAUUCGUAGAUAUGGGGAGGAACACCGGUGGCGAAGGCGGCUGCCUGGAUGGAUACUGACGCUGAGACGCGAAAGCGUGGGUAGCAAACAGG